UUUGGCCUACACUUCCAUAGAUUUUUUGGAUAAUUUGUGUGAUCCAUGAAUUAUGUAUUCCUUUGGAAGUUCCUCCAACUUUGUUGAUUGUUCGGAUAAACCAAAUUAUGGCGUUACUUUGUUAGAAAGCUGCUCCCAGUUCUCAAAGAAACCUUAUCGUCGACAUGCAAAAUGGGAAGCUCAUUGAAGGAGACACAAUAGUACAACGCGUUUUAGAACAAAUUUGCAGGAUGUUUGCAAACAUAAUAUUUUAAAACGUUAAUUAUAAAAGUACCCAACUAUAGUACAUUUAUCAAUAGGCGUAACCCAAUCGUGAGUUUUGAAGUGCAUUUGAAGCAACAGUACUUUAAGGGAAAUAGUCUAUAAUUAAUUUGCCAAUGCAUUGAAUUAAACAACAAUUAUGUAAUACUGUAAUAUUCCAAGGAGAAGUGGACAACUGGACGUUUUGAUCUGAAUAGUCUUUAUUAAUUUAUCACGUUAUUUUAUUCUCACAUCUCACGGUAAUAUUUUUGGCGAACGUCGAGCCUCACGCCAAGGUGCAAACCGCGUUAUUUGUAUUCAAAUACCCCAGUGAAGGGUGCGCGGAGUUGGUCUCCGCAGUAUCUGUCAUCGAUCAGAACAGUUUGGUGCCAGUGAGAGUGUCAUAUCAGAUAAUGCAAGCUUCACACAUUCAACGAUCCCCGUGUCAGAACUGUGCUGGGAUCUUUCGUCUAAAUUUACAAGCAUGAAAUUACUAUCAAACCCCCAAACCGCCAAGCGGAGCGUCGGAUGCACAGUCCAGCUCCGUCGCGGAAUUUACAGAGCGACCUAGUGAGCUUGGAGGCGCACAAGCGAUGAUUAUAUACACCAUGGAGGCUUCAGUAAAAGCUCGAACGGCCCAAACACGAUCACAUCUUGACUGAUUCCCCUCCACUCGUGGGCUCCUGUUGAGACCAGCUGACAUUGCGGUUCAGAAGUCAAGCGGAGGUCACUUUUUCACAGCCCUGGCAGAAAUUUCCGACAGAACCUGUUGAAAAACACACGUCCGAAGCUGCAGCGAAGACCGCUGAUGAAUCGCACCGCGAACCCAUUUCACAUAGAGAUGGAUAAUUUCUGCUCGAUGAAAGAUGCUCCGUGAUAACUUCGCAUUAAUAACUGUACACGAUCAAUACAAUAUAUCGAAUAUCAAAGAGCCUACUCUCCGAGGCCUUUGUAGACCUUUAGUUUUAUUUGCUAAAUGUCUGGUUCAUGUGCACACUGACUGCUGCGGCAAGACGACGUAUUUAUUUUAACAAUUUAAGAAGUUAAAGUGAUUGUUUAAUAAUAAACAGAAGUAGAUUGCUUAUUGUUGCCCAUUUGUAAUGCCAUAAUAAAAUGGUAUCUUGGAAUAAAAUCCCAGCUAAGUUAAAAUA